CACCACAACAGGUGGAGCCUGCGGUUUAAUCGGACUCAAACGCCGGGAAAGGCUCACCGGAUAAGACAGCGGAAUGAUAGCCGGGCUGAAGACUCUGCUUGACUAGCUGAGAGGAGGUGCAUGGCCGUCGUCAGUUCGUACUGUGAAGCAUCCUGUUAAGUCAGGCAACGAGCGAGACCCACGCCAACAGUUGCCAGCAUGUCCUCCGGGAUGGUGGGGACACUGUUGGGACCGCCUCUGCUAAAGAGGAGGAAGGAAUGGGCAACGGUAGGUCAGCAUGCCCCGAAUUAUCCGGGCUACACGCGGGCUACAAUGGUCAGGACAAUGGGCAUCAACACCGAAAGGUGAAGGCAAUCUCUUAAACCUGUCCUUAGUUCGGAUUGUGGGCUGCAACUCGCCCACAUGAAGCUGGAAUCUGUAGUAAUCGCGGAUCAGCAUGCCGCGGUGAAUACGUUCCCGGGCCUU
rnacentral:rRNA from 1 species